AAGCUGGGAAUGGGUGACAGGGGAUGGAUCACUAGAUGAUUACCUGUUCUGUUCAUUCCCUCUGAGGCACCUGGCAUUGGCCACUGUCGGAAGACAGGAUAAUGGGCUAGAUGGACCUGUGGUCUGGUCCAGUAUGGCCGGUCUUAUGUUUUUAUGAUAAAUGUUUU